rnacentral:rRNA from 1 species
AGGGUUUGAUCCUGGCUCAGAGUGAACGCUGGCGGCGUGGAUUAGGCAUGCAAGUCGAGCGAUCCUUUUUAUUGAAGGAGAUUGAAGCCUUCGGGCUGAUGUCUUCGGAUAUAAUGUGGAUAGCGGCAAACGGGUGAGUAAUACGUGGGCAACGUACCCUGGGGAGGAGAAUAGCUUCGAGAAAUCGGAGGUAAUACUCCAUACUCCCUUUUUUCUGGAAUGGAGAAAGGGCAAAGAUGGCGGAAGACUUCGGUCUGCUAUCGCCCAAGGAGCGGCUCAUGGCCUAUCAGGUUGUUGGUAGGGUAACGGCCUACCAAGCCAUAGACGGGUAGCUGGCCUGAGAGGGUGGUCAGCCACAUCGGGACUGAGACACUGCCCGGACUCCUACGGGAGGCUGCAGUCGAGAAUCUUUCCCAAUGAGCGAAAGCUUGAGGAUGCGACGCCGCGUGAGGGAUGAAGGCUUUCGGGUUGUAAACCUCUUUUAUCGGGGAGGAAGACCCUUCCUUUAAAUAAGGGGAAGGAGUGACUUUACUCGAUGAAUAAGUCACGGCUAACUCCGUGCCAGCAGCCGCGGUAAUACGGAGGUGGCAAGCGUUACUCGGUUUGACUGGGUGUAAAGGGUCCGCAGGCGGCCUAAUAAGUGAAAGGUGAAAUCUCUCGGCUUAACCGAGAAACUGCUUUUCAAACUGUUAGGCUUGAGGCUGGAAGAGGAGAGCGGAACUGCCAGUGUAAGGGUGAAAUCUGUGGAUAUUGGCAGGAACGUCCGUGGGGAAGCCGGCUCUCUGGUUCAGAUCUGACGCUGAGGGACGAAAGCUAGGGGAGCAAACAGGAUUAGAUACCCUGGUAGUCCUAGCUGUAAACGAUGGGCACUAGGUGUUUGUCCGCAAGGAUGAGUGCCGCAGGUAACCCGAUAAGUGCCCCACCUGGGAACUACGGCCGCAAGGCUAAAACUCAAAGGAAUUGACGGUGGCCCGCACAAGCGGUGGAACACGUGGUUUAAUUCGAUGCUACGCGAGAAACCUUAUCCAGGGCUUGACAUGCAGGAAGUAGUAUCUCGAAAGAGAGUCCGACCGGUAUCCAAUCCGGAACCUGCACAGGUGCUGCAUGGCUGUCGUCAGCUCGUGCCGUGAGGUGUUCCCUUAAGUGGGAGGACGAGCGCAACCCUCGCCCUUUGUUGCUACCCAUUCUUUUAGAAUGGCGCACUCUAAGGGGACUGCCCGCGUUAAGUGGGAGGA